UUGCGGCUGGAUCACCUCCUUUCAAGAGACCGCACUAUCGACUGACACGCGAGUUCCCAGCACAAGUUACCUGUCUCUAUCCAGGCGGCGGCCCGACGCGCAUCGACUCAAGUGGGCUGCAGAUUACGGGUCUGUAGCUCAGUUAGUUAGAGCGCACCCCUGAUAAGGGUGAGGUCGGAGGUGCAACUCCUCCCAGACCCACCANGACGUGUUGGUAGCAACAUGUCGAUCAGUUAUCAGGACGGGGCCAUAGCUCAGCUGGGAGAGCACCUGCUUUGCAAGCAGGGGGUCGUCGGUUCGAU
rnacentral:tRNA from 1 species